GGCUUGUGGCUCAGUGGUGGAGCACUUGCCUAUUAUACAUGAGGCACUGGGUUCGACCCUUAGCACCA
rnacentral:tRNA from 1 species